GUGAGGGUGGAGGGGAGAGCAGCUCCACAGGUGAGCAGAAGAGAUAGCCAGCUCCGAGCCUCAGAAAUGUAAAAUGGCCUCUUGGGAGUGUGCAAAGACCUGAUCUGUGGGAGAUCAAAGUCGGGAACGCACAGCUCCUCCAGAAUCAAAAGCUCCUUGCUCUCAGGAACAGACAGCCCAGAUUCCCUCUUCGAGAAGAGCCAAGCAUAACAAUGGAAGCUUUUCAGGAACUCGACUCUUGCACAAAGAGAUGUACACCUGAAGCUUCGUGAUGUUUAAUCGGAAGUUACGACUAAGACUCAAAGAGCUGGAUGUGUGCCUGGGGCAGGGUGUGAAGACGGAGGCUUGGCAGGGCCUGUCCCUGCCAGUGGACCCACCGGUGGAGAAGCGGCUUCCCUCCAACAAGGGGAGGUGUCUCUCACUUGGAUUUGAUGAUGACGUUUGAAAGUUUGAGCCAAACUGGACAACUUGUGUUCCUAAUGUGGUUUCCUGUCUGCCUGCCUCAACUACACCGUUCCACCACCAAGCGACCAGUCAUCCUGGCUAGCCAAGGACUGUCCCCAUUUCAGCUCUGAAAGGCCCAUGUCCCAGGAAUCGACUCAGCCCUAGGCAGGCCAAGUCAGUUGGUCCCCCUGUGGUUUCCUCUGCCUAGAAUUGAUGGGCUCCUUCUCUGCAUUUUUUUUUUUUUUUGC
ensembl:lncRNA